UCAUUAGCUCAGCGGUAGAGCACCGAGUUCUCAAAAUUUGAAAAGUGUUUAGCCUGAGUUCAAUUCUCGGAAAGAUCAA